GCUGUUAGAGGGACACACACACCCAAACACAUACACUCACACACACGCUAGAAGAGUCUUUAUGCAAUCCAAACACACUUAGUCAAACUAUCUUGGCCAUGUUCUGUUAUAAUCUCCACCCGGCACAGCCAGAAGAGGACUGGCCACCCCUCAUAGCCUGGUUCCUCUCUAGGUUUAUAAUCUCCACCCGGCACAGCCAGAAGAGGACUGGCCACCCCUCAUAGCCUGGUUCCUCUCUAGGUUUAUAAUCUCCACCCGGCACAGCCAGAAGAGGACUGGCCACCCCUCAUAGCCUGGUUCCUCUCUAGGUUUAUAAUCUCCACCCGGCACAGCCAGAAGAGGACUGGCCACCCCUCAUAGCCUGGUUCCUCUCUAGGUUUAUAAUCUCCACCCGGCACAGCCAGAAGAGGACUGGCCACCCCUCAUAGCCUGGUUCCUCUCUAGGUUUAUAAUCUCCACCCGGCACAGCCAGAAGAGGACUGGCCACCCCUCAUAGCCUGGUUCCUCUCUAGGUUUAUAAUCUCCACCCGGCACAGCCAGAAGAGGACUGGCCACCCCUCAUAGCCUGGUUCCUCUCUAGGUUUCUUCCCAGGUUCUGGCCUUUCUAGGGGGUGUUUCCUCGUCACUGUGCUUCUACACCUGCAUUGCUUGUUGUUUGGGGUUUUAGGCUGGGUUUCUGUACAGCACUUUGAGAUAUCAGCUGAUGUAAGAAGGGCUGUAUAAAUACAUUUGAUUGAUUGAACACGCUGUCGUACACGUCGAUCCAAAGCACCGCCAGGACUCUGUUCACAACGUUGACAUCUAUACAUCAGCAAACCGCUCGCCCACACGACACCGUACACACUGUCUGCCAUCUGCCUGGUACAGUUGAAACCAGGAUUGAUCCGUGAAGAGCACCAUUCUCCAGUGUGCCAGUGGCCAUCGAAGGUGAGCAUCUGCCCACUGAAGUCUGUCACAACGCUGAACUGCAGUCAGGUCACGACCCUGGGGAGGAGGACGAACAAGUGAGCUUCCCUGAGUUUCCCUUCUGACAGUCUGUGUAGAAAUUAUUCGCUUGUGCAUUUCCACAGUUUCAUCAUCUGCCCGGGUGGCUGGUCUCAGAUGAUCCCGCAGGUGAGGAAGCCGGAUGUGGAGGUCCUGGGUUGGCGUGAUUACAGAUGUUGUGAGGCCAGUUGGAUGUACUGCCAAAUUCUCUAAAAGGACAGUCUGGCUUAUGGUAGGGAAAUUAAUAUUAAAUUCUCUGGCAACAGCUCUGGUGGAUAUUUCUGCUGUCAGCAUGGCAAUUGCUCACUCCCUCAACUUCAGACAUCUGUGGCAUUGUGUCGUGUGACAAAACUGCACAUUUUAGAAUCAUAUUUUAUUGUCCUCAGUACAAGGUGCACCUGUGUAAUGAUCAUGCUGUUUAAUCAGCUUCUUGAUAUGCUACACCUGUCAGGUGUAUGGAUUAUCUUAGCAAAGGACAAAUGCUCACUAAUAGGAUGUUAACAAAUGUGUGAACAAAAUUUGAGGGAAAGAAGCGUUUUGUGCGUAUGAAACAUUUAUGGGAUCUUUUAUUUAAUGAAACAUGGGGCCAACACUUUACAUGUUGUGUUAAUAUUUUUGCUCAGUGUGAACUACUACUAUAAUAUACAGUAUCUGAUUAGAUCUGCCUGGUCCUAUUCUGACACGCGUCACUGCCAUUUGAACACAAUCAUUCCAAUUCCUCAUUAUGCACAAAAUGUCCACGUCUCAGUUACUUCAGUCAGAACACAACACAAUGUCACUUUACGCUGAUUCCCCC